UACGGAGGGGGCAAGCGUUGUUCGGAAUUACUGGGCGUAAAGGGCGCGCAGGCGGCUGCUCAAGUCAGGCGUGAAAGGCCUGGGCUCAACCCGGGAAUUGCGCUUGAGACUGGGCUGGCUUGAGUGCGGGAGAGGAUGGUGGAAUUCCCAGUGUAGAGGUGAAAUUCGUAGAUAUUGAGAAGAACACCGGUGGCGAAGGCGGCCAUCUGGACCGCAACUGACGCUGAGGCGCGAAAGCGUGGGGAGCAAACAGG
rnacentral:rRNA from 1 species